rnacentral:rRNA from 1 species
GAUCAUGGCUCAGGAUGAACGCUAGCUACAGGCUUAACACAUGCAAGUCGAGGGGCAGCAUUGGAGUAGCAAUACUUCAGAUGGCGACCGGCGCACGGGUGAGUAACACGUAUCCAACCUGCCGCUUACUCGGGGAUAGCCUUUCGAAAGAAAGAUUAAUACCCGAUGGUAUAAAGAGUUCGCAUGUUCUCUUUAUUAAAGAAUUUCGGUAAGCGAUGGGGAUGCGUUCCAUUAGAUAGUUGGCGGGGUAACGGCCCACCAAGUCUACGAUGGAUAGGGGUUCUGAGAGGAAGGUCCCCCACAUUGGAACUGAGACACGGUCCAAACUCCUACGGGAGGCAGCAGUGAGGAAUAUUGGUCAAUGGACGCGAGUCUGAACCAGCCCAAGUAGCGUGAAGGAUGACUGCCCUAUGGGUUGUAAACUUCUUUUAUAAGGGAAUAAAGUGAGGGACGUGUCCCUUUUUGUAUGUACCUUAUGAAUAAGGAUCGGCUAACUCCGUGCCAGCCGCCGC